UAGCACAUGGUGUGGUUUGAAGUUAGCUU
rnacentral:piRNA from 1 species